CGUGUAGGUGGUACUGUAAGUAGGGCGUGAAAGCUCCUGGCUCAACUGGGAGAGGCCGUUCUAAACUACAGGACUAGAGGAUGGUAGAGGGAGGUGGAAUUCCAGGUGUAGCGGUGGAAUGCGCAGAUAUCUGGAGGAACACCGGUGGCGAAGGCGGCCUCCUGGACCAUUCCUGACACUCAGACGCGAAAGCUAGGGUAGCAAACG
rnacentral:rRNA from 1 species